GGGGGGAGGCCGGAUCCUGGGCUGUGUCCCGGCGCCCUGUGCUCCGGAGCCUGCGCUGUUGGAUUCGCGCUCCCGGGCCGCGCAACCCCCU
rfam:Canis lupus familiaris chromosome 4, whole genome shotgun sequence.